GUCGGUCCAUUUACACCGUGCGGGGAACGUGAGGCCCGCGCCACACGGCCGCACGAAGAUUGCGGCAGGUUAAAAAAGGUUCGUCUCGGAUUGCUGAUCUGCAUCCACUGCACUUUCCUAGUUCUUUCCACAUCGACCCUAUUCAACCCUCUACAGAAGCAUGCAUCACCGUUUACACCGUGAGACUCUUCUCUCUGUCAAAAGAAAAAAAGAAAAAAUUAGAAAACCUUACUUGAUUGGAAGAGAAGAAUAAAAGAGAAGAGAAAAGAAUGAUAAAAAAAAUAUGAAUUUUCUCUAAAAGUUUUUUAUAAAAAAAAAUAAGAAAAAUGGAGGAAAAACGAAUCCUCUUAGAUCUUUAAUUUUUUUUCUCCUUCAAAUCGUUCGGAUUUAGAGAGAAAAAAAUUAAAAAUUAAUAAAUUUUUUAUAAUUUUUAUCUUAUUUUUUAAUAAUAAAAAUAAAAUUAAUAUUAUAUUUCAAUUCUAAGAUUUGUUUCAAGCCUUCCAUUUGAUUGAGAUUUCUAUGGAUGAAAAAAAUCAACGGAAACAAAAGGAAAGAUAGAGAAAAUUAAAAGAUA
rnacentral:lncRNA from 1 species